ACGAUGUCCCGUGGUGCUGGUUCGUCCCGCCCGUGAGGGUGGGACGUCGUAAGAGGGAACCCGGUGCGAGACCGGGACUGCCCCGCAGCGGUGAGUGGGAACGACCGCCGUCAACGAAGCACUGGACCGUGAGGUCUGGGAAGCGACGGCCAGUAGGCGACCUGUGUGUCACGCCCACGAGUCCGAAGACCUGCCAGCGCCGCGCACACCGC
rnacentral:ncRNA from 2 species